rnacentral:lncRNA from 1 species
GAGAUGCACCAUGAAUCCCUCCCGGAAGCUUUCCCUGGUGACAAUGUUGGGUUCAACGUUAAAAACGUUGCUGUUAAGGAUCUUAAACGUGGUUUUGUUGCUUCAAACUCCAAGGAUGAUCCGGCCAAGGAAGCUGCCAACUUCACCUCUCAGGUUAUCAUCAUGAACCACCCUGGCCAAAUUGGAAAUGGUUAUGCCCCAGUCCUCGACUGCCACACCUCUCACAUUGCUGUCAAAUUUUCCGAACUGUUGACCAAGAUUGACAGACGAUCUGGCAAGGAACUCGAGAAGGAAC